CCCUUAGAUGUCCUGGGCUGCACGCGCGCUACACUGAUGUGUCCAGUAAGCACCUAACCUCUUCCGAAAGGAACGGGUAACCUUUGCAAAGCACAUCGUGAUGGGGAUAGAUUAUUGCAAUUAUUAGUCUUGAACGAGGAAUUCCUAGUAAGCACAAGUCAUCAGCUUGUGUUGAUUACGUCCCUGCCCUUUGUACACACCGCCCGUCGCACCUACCGAUUGGAUGGUCCGGUGAAGCCUCGGGAUUGUGGCGGUUGCCUUUAUUGGUGGCCGCCGCGAGAACUUGUCUAAACCUUAUCAUCUAGAGGAAGGUGAAGUCGUAACA
rnacentral:rRNA from 1 species